rnacentral:rRNA from 1 species
UACAGAGGGGGCAAGCGUUAUUCGGAAUUAUUGGGCGUAAAGGGCGCGUAGGCGGCUUUGCAAGUGGCGGGUGAAAUCCCUCGGCUUAACCGAGGAACUGCCUGCCAGACUGCAUGGCUUGAGACCGGGAGAGGUGAGUGGAAUUCCCAGUGUAGCGGUGAAAUGCGUAGAUAUUGGGAGGAACACCAGUGGCGAAGGCGGCUCACUGGACCGGUACUGACGCUGAGGCGCGAAAGCGUGGGGAGCAAACGGG